rnacentral:rRNA from 1 species
AUUGAACGCUGGCGGCAUGCCUAACACAUGCAAGUCGAGCGGAUCGGCGGACGGGUGCGUAAUGCUUAUGUAUCUGCCCGGUCGUGGGGGAUAACGCUCGGUAACGGGAGCUAUAACUGCAUACUAUAAGAUGAGCUUCGGUCGGAUUAGCUAGUUGGUGGGGUAAAGGCCUACCAAGGCGACGAUCCGUAACUGGUCUGAGAGGAUGAUCAGUCACACUGGAACUGAGACACGGUCCAGACUCCUACGGGAGGCAGCAGUGGGGAAUAUUGGACAAUGGGCGAAAGCCUGAUCCAGCCAUGCCGCGUGUAUGAAGAAGGUCUUCGGAUUGUAAAGCACUUUAAGUUGGGAGGCGUUACCAACAGAAUAAGCACCGGCUAACUACGUGCCAGCAGCCGCGGUAAUUC